GAUGAACGCUGGCGGCGUGCCUGAUACAUGCAAGUCGAGCGAACGGACGAGAAGCUUGCUUCUCUGAUGUUAGCGGCGGACGGGUGAGUAACACGUGGAUAACCUACCUAUAAGACUGGGAUAACUUCGGGAAACCGGAGCUAAUACCGGAUGAUAUUUUGAACCGCAUGGUUCAAAAGUGAAAGACGGUCUUGCUGUCACUUAUAGAUGGAUCCGCGCUGCAUUAGCUAGUUGGUAAGGUAACGGCUUACCAAGGCAACGAUGCAUAGCCGACCUGAGAGGGUGAUCGGCCACACUGGAACUGAGACACGGUCCAGACUCCUACGGGAGGCAGCAGUAGGGAAUCUUCCGCAAUGGGCGAAAGCCUGACGGAGCAACGCCGCGUGAGUGAUGAAGGUCUUCGGAUCGUAAAACUCUGUUAUUAGGGAAGAACAUAUGUGUAAGUAACUGUGCACAUCUUGACGGUACCUAAUCAGAAAGCCACGGCUAACUACGUG
rnacentral:rRNA from 1 species